CGGAGGGAUCAUUAAAGAGUUCUAUAACUCCCAAACCCAUGUGAACAUACCUAACGUUGCCUCGGCAGGUCGCACCUACCUUGUAGCACCCUACCCUGUAGGGCCUACCCGGGAGGUGCGGGUAAGCCUGCCGGCGGCCCACCAAACUCUGUUUGAUAUUGAAUUCUGAACCUAUAACUAAAUAAGUUAAAACUUUCAACAACGGAUCUCUUGGUUCUGGCAUCGAUGAAGAACGCAGCGAAAUGCGAUAAGUAAUGUGAAUUGCAGAAUUCAGUGAAUCAUCGAAUCUUUGAACGCAUAUUGCGCCCAUUAGUAUUCUAGUGGGCAGGACCGUUCGAGCGUCAUUUCAACCCUUAAGCCUUCGUUGCUUAGUGUUGGGAGCCUACGGCAACGUAGCUCCUCAAAGUUAGUGGCGGAGUUGGUUCACACUCUAGACGUAGUAAUUUUUUAUCUCGCCUAUUAGUUGGACUAAUCCCCUGCCGUAAAACCCCCAAUUUAUCAAGGUUGACCUCGAAUCGGUUCAGACAAACUCGCUAAAUUGAAGCAUCUUAGUCAGCGAAGGAAAAGAAACCAACAGGGAUUGCCCUAGUAACGGCGAGUGAAGCGGCAACAGCUCAAAUUUGAAAUCUGGCCCUCGGG
rnacentral:rRNA from 1 species